rnacentral:ncRNA from 2 species
UUGAGCCGUAUGCAGUGAAAGUUGCACGUACGGUUCUGAGGAGGGUGGCACCUAGUAACAGGUGCCGUCUAUCCGAC